UACGUAGGGUGCGAGCGUUAAUCGGAAUUACUGGGCGUAAAGUGUGCGCAGGCGGCCCGCGCAAGUCGAGUGUGAAAGCCCCGAGCUUAACUUGGGAACUGCGCUCGAAACUACGUGGCUGGAGUGUGGCAGAGGAAGGUGGAAUUCCAGGUGUAGCGGUGAAAUGCGUAGAGAUCUGGAGGAACACCGAUGGUCGGCAGGAGG
rnacentral:rRNA from 1 species